rnacentral:rRNA from 1 species
UUUCGCCUACGGGGGGCAGCAGUGAGGAAUAUUGGUCAAUGGGCGGAAGCCUGAACCAGCCAAGUCGCGUGAGGGACUAAGGCCCUACGGGUCGUAAACCUCUUUUGCCGGGGAUCAGUGCCCAGCUCGCGAGCUGGGAGGGAGCGUACCCGGAGAAAAAGCAUCGGCUAACUCCGUGCCAGCAGCCGCGGUAAUACGGAGGAGGCGAGCGUUAUCCGGAUUUAUUGGGUUUAAAGGGUGCGUAGGCGGGCCUUCAGGCCGGCGGGAAA